rnacentral:rRNA from 1 species
UACGAGUGGUGCUAGCGUUAUUCGGAUUUAUUGGGCGUAAAGGGUGUGUAGACGGCAUACUAAGUCAUUUGUUUAAUCCUCCGGCUUAACCGGAGUCCAGCAGGUGAAACUAGUAUACUAGAGGGUGGAAGAGAGAAGUGGAAUUCUCGGAGUAGCGGUAAAAUGCGUAGAUCUCGAGAGGAACACCAAUGGCGAAGGCAGCUUCUUGGUCCAUACCUGACGUUGAGACACGAAAGCGUGGGGAGCAAAC